CUCGUUGAUGAUCGGUGCUUGCACCGAGAUUCAACAUGGAACGAGUGGCGGACGGGUGAGUAACACGUGGGUAACCUGCCCUUAAGUGGGGGAUAACAUUUGGAAACAGAUGCUAAUACCGCAUAGAUCCAAGAACCGCAUGGUUCUUGGCUGAAAGAUGGCGUAAGCUAUCGCUUUUGGAUGGACCCGCGGCGUAUUAGCUAGUUGGUGAGGUAACGGCUCACCAAGGCGAUGAUACGUAGCCGAACUGAGAGGUUGAUCGGCCACAUUGGGACUGAGACACGGCCCAAACUCCUACGGGAGGCAGCAGUAGGGAAUCUUCCACAAUGGACGCAAGUCUGAUGGAGCAACGCCGCGUGAGUGAAGAAGGCUUUCGGGUCGUAAAACUCUGUUGUU
rnacentral:rRNA from 2 species